rnacentral:rRNA from 1 species
AUUGAACGCUGGCGGCAGGCCUAACACAUGCAAGUCGAGCGGGGAGAGGUAGCUUGCUACCUGACCUAGCGGCGGACGGGUGAGUAAUGCUUAGGAAUCUGCCUAUUAGUGGGGGACAACAUUCCGAAAGGAAUGCUAAUACCGCAUACGCCCUACGAGGGAAGGCAGGGGAUCUUCGGACCUUGCGCUAAUAGAUGAGCCUAAGUCAGAUUAGCUAGUUGGUGGGGUAAAGGCCUACCAAGGCGACGAUCUGUAGCGGGUCUGAGAGGAUGAUCCGCCACACUGGGACUGAGACACGGCCCAGACUCCUACGGGAGGCAGCAGUGGGGAAUAUUGGACAAUGGGCGAAAGCCUGAUCCAGCUAUGCCGCGUGUGUGAAGAAGGCCUUUUGGUUGUAAAGCACUUUAAGCGAGGAGGAGGCUACUUAGAUUAAUACUUUAGGAUAGUGGACGUUACUCGCAGAAUAAGCACCGGCUAACUCUGUGCCAGCCGCCGCGGUAA